CCCGUAGGCGGCCUGAUAAGUCAGAUGUGAAAGUCCACGGCUCAACCGUGGAAGUGCAUUUGAAACUGUCAGGCUUGAGUAUCGGAGGGGAGUGUGGAAUUCCCGGUGUAGAGGUGAAAUUCGUAGAGAUCGGGAGGAACACCGGUGGCGAAGGCGACACUCUGGACGAAUACUGACGCUGAGGCGCGAAAGCGUGGGGAGCAAACA
rnacentral:rRNA from 1 species